UACGGAGGGGGCAAGCGUUACUCGGAAUUACUGGGCGUAAAGCGCACGUAGGCGGAUUCGUAAGUCAGGGGUGAAAUCCCGGGGCUCAACCUCGGAACUGCCUUUGAUACUGCGGGUCUUGAGUCCGAUAGAGGUGGGUGGAAUUCCUAGUGUAGAGGUGAAAUUCGUAGAUAUUAGGAAGAACACCGGUGGCGAAGGCGGCCCACUGGAUCGGUACUGACGCUGAGGUGCGAAAGCGUGGGGAGCAAACAGG
rnacentral:rRNA from 1 species